UUUCGACAGAGAUUGCUUCUAAAGGAACUUGCUAGAAAAUACGAAAGACGAUAACAUGUUUGAGCUCACUGGUAGCAGAUCUCUUCCCUGCAUACUUAUUAUAAGGCUAAUUUUCUGAAAGGAUUCUAUAGCACUUGGAUGAAAGUUCAAUAUAAAUACACAUACCCAGGUUGUUCUGAUUCAGCAAAAGAAAUAGUUUUGCAGUAUGUUAUACUUGAUAUGGGAGGUACACUAAGUAUACAGCUUUGCAGUAUGUUAUACAGCUUUCAUUCAGUUAUACUCGACUAUAUUCACGGGAUACCUACCACUUCCCACCAACAACAGAUACCAGGUAUACCAAGGUUAGGACAGAUAGGAAAAAUCACCUAAUCUAGACAUCUGAACCAAAUCCACUUACAUCCAGUUGCAAGCUUAAUCUAGAUAUGGACACGACAAGAAGGUUCAUGACUACUCUAUCCACCUGUUCUCUUUUUGAAAAAUUUGGAAGAUUGGAUGGUAGAUACAGUUUGGAGAAAAUAUGAGGGGAAGCAGCAGAAAAUGAAGGACCAGAGAAAAUGGGGAAAAAAUAACAAAUCUAGAGAAUGUUCAGCUCAAGGUUUGAUUCCAAAUGACAAGAGUUGUAACAUGAUAUGACAGAUUACCUGCAGAUCGUUAAUUGCUUGCUCCCUGGAGUUUUCUUUUGCCUGACAAGCACGUUUGAUGCAUCCAAAGCACAGCAGUCCCUACAAGAAACAUAAGUAAAGGAAAAAAGUGAAAAUCUAUUGUAUGAUAUAGUACCCGAAAAAGGCUCAACACGAUGGAUCCUAAAGCAUGUGUGCAGUCAGAAGCAAGCCUUCAUGCUUAAAUACAAGAUAAAUGAAGUUUAAAGAAUGACACAGAAUGCAGGCAUUCAAACAGACUGUAAUCUUUAAUAGCACACUCUAUAUGAUGGAGACCUAGUAAACACACUUAAGAUGUACAUGGUCAUGCAAACAAAAGAUGUUUCAGAUCAUCUGGCAGACUAUUAAUAAGCAUAACAGAUCCCAAUGUUUUCAAUGUUGUGAGUACGCUAAAUUAAAUCACUCUGCUCAGUAGUUAGUACGUACUGUAUGUGAUCCGGUAACACAUAAAUAUGUAUGUACAUUGCAUCGAUCUGCACAGGUGAUCGAGAUAACAAAAGGAAGCAAAGUUAAGAACGAACUUGACAAGAAAACUGGUCUCAUUAAGGUUGACCGAUUGCUAUAUUCAUCGGUGGUUUACCCUCAGACCUAUGGAUUCAUUCCUCGAACGCUAUGUGAAGAUAAUGAUCCAAUGGAUAUAUUAGUCCUCAUGCAGGUAAAUGAACAGGGCAAAGAAGGGACAUAGCCUA